GACGAACGCUGGCGGCGUGCCUAACACAUGCAAGUCGAGCGGAGUCGAUCGACGGAAGCCUUCGGGCGGAAGAUGGUUGACUUAGCGGCGGAUGGGUGAGUAACGCGUGGGCAACCUGCCUCGAAGACCGGGAUAACAGACCGAAAGGGCUGCUAAUACCGGAUGUGGUCAAGGAUCCGCAUGGAUUUUGAUUAAAGGGGAAACCCGUUUCGAGAUGGGCCCGCGUCCUAUCAGCUAGUUGGUGAGGUAAAAGCUCACCAAGGCGACGACGGGUAGCCGGCCUGAGAGGGUGACCGGCCACACUGGAACUGAGACACGGUCCAGACUCCUACGGGGGGCAGCAGUGGGGAAUCUUCCACAAUGGGCGAAAGCCUGAUGGAGCGACGCCGCGUGAGCGAAGAAGGCCUUCGGGUUGUAAAGCUCUGUCUGGAGGGACGAAGGAAGUGACGGUACCUCCGGAGGAAGCCACGGCUAACUACGUG
rnacentral:rRNA from 1 species